GAUCAGAUACCGCCCUAGUUCUGACCGUAAACGAUGCCAACUAGCGAUCCGCCAGUCGACUCAUCGCUCUGGUGGGGAGCUUCCCGGAAACGAAAGUCUUCCGGUUCCGGGGGAAGUAUGGCUGCAAAGCUGAAACUUAAAGGAAUUGACGGAAGGGCACCACCAGGAGUGGAGCCUGCGGCUUAAUUUGACUCAACACGGGGAAACUCACCCGGCCCGGACACCGUAAGGAUUGACAGAUUGAUAGCUUUUUCAUGAUUCGGUGGAUGGUGGUGCAUGGCCGUUCUUAGUUCGUGGAGAGAUUUGUCUGGUUUAUUCCGAUAACGAGCGAGACUCUGGCCUACUAAAUAGUUGACGCAUUGCCACUGUGCGCACAACUUCUUAGAGGGAUUUUCGGUGUUUUCAACCGCACGAAAUUGAGCAAUAACAGGUCUGUGAUGCCCUUAGAUGUCCGGGGCUGCACGCGCGCUACACUGGCAAACGCAACGUGCCUGUCCUGCCCCGAAAGGAGCGGGUAGACCCCUGAAAUUUUGCCGUGAUUGGGAUCGGACAUUGCAACUAUUGUCCGUGAACGAGGAAUUCCUUGUAGGGGCGAGUCAUCAACUCGUCCCGAAUACGUCCCUGCCCUUGUA
rnacentral:rRNA from 1 species